CUAUGCGCCUUGCCAGCCCGCUCAGGUGUGCCAGCAGCCGCGGUAAUACGUAGGGGCGAGCGUUAUCCGGAUUCACUGGGUGUAAAGGGAGCGUAGACGGCCAUGCAAGCCAGGGGUGAAAGCCCGGGGCCAACCCCGGGACUGCCCUUGGAACUGCAUGGCUGGAGUGCGGGAGGGGCAGGCGGAAUUCCUGGUGUAGCGGUGAAAUGCGUAGAUAUCAGGAGGAACACCGGCGGCGAAGGCGGCCUGCUGGACUGCGACUGACGUUGAGGCUCGAAAGCGUGGGGAGCAAACAGG
rnacentral:rRNA from 1 species